AAUUAAACUGUGCUGGAUAUAAAGAAAUUUUCGCAAGAUGCAGAUUAAGAAAUUGAAUAUUUCUGGUAAAUCUGAGUACGACAGGAAUUAUAAAUGGCUGGACUCGUUCAAGAGUAAAAGCUUCAAUCCCACAAUCGAGCAGAUAGCUCCCCCAGCAGGCUGUGAAUCAAUAGAACUGGGAACAGUGAUGGAGCCCCCACUACAGAGGAAGAAGCGCUGUACUGGUCCCCCAACCACACUGAGCACCGAUUUUAACCAGUUUCCAGACGCCGCGUCCGACGACUUUGCACUGCUAGGACGGAAUGACAAGUUCAUGGAGAAUGUAAGGUACAAAGCUAAGAGCCACCACACAGCACCGGCCCGGGAGGCAUCUCCCCCCAAACAGCAGAGGCUGCAGGAAAAAGAAAACAGAAGGAAGGCCCCUAAACCAACACCUGCCCCAUUUGUGGAUACAACCAAGUUCCGACAGCAAUCCAAGUCUGAGGAGCAACAGCCCAGCACCCCCCUGACCCCCCGCAAGGAGAAGAACGAGAGCUCCAGCCUGUACAAGGAGAUCGCACUGAGAGAGAAGGAGGCGGCCCUCAGACAGAAGUUCAGUAAGCUGGACAGAGAGGGCGGGAGGAAGACGGCACCGAGCGCGCUCAGACAGAGCAAGGAGCAGUACAGUAAGACCAUCGACGACAAUCGCAUGGAGUCGGCCGUCAAAUCCUGGGUCAAGGACAAAAACGUCGGCAGCAUGAAUGAGUUCGCCCAGACCAACUUGGAUAAAGGCAUAGCAGAUUCUGCACCUGAAGCUCCUGCUGAUUAUGCUCUGAGAUACAAGACCGGGGUAUCAGUCCCACGACCACGCAGACACAAGUUCUCGGAAUAUCAGAAGUCAUUUAGCUGGAAAGACGGAGCCAAAGCCUCGCCUGUGUUAGCAGCAGAACAGGCAGUCAUUGCAUCCGAGAGUAAAAACAAGGUUGUGUACAACAGUAACCCUGCCUUGGUCCCUCCCCAGAAAUCUUUCGUUAAGGACAGUGAAUAUGCGGCUCAGUUUAAGCAGUACAAUGCUAUGCCGGUCAGCAGUGAUGACCUCAAGGCCAUUCCAAGGGCAGAGAAACCAAGGUCAAAGGUCAAAAGGAGCAAGAGUACUGGAGCUCUGCGAGUGGACAAGAGACCAGCAGCAGGAAGUGGUCCCCUGAUCACCCCCGACAACAAACGACAGACCAUCGAGUCUGAGCUCCAGGGGGAGCCCCAGGAGGCCCCCAGCUCACCCCCUAUACACCAGGGAAAGCUCAAGCGACCUAGAAGUGAAUAUACUUCAAACUUUCGAUCUCCCACCAAGUUCCAGUAUGAUGGGGCUUGGCAUGGUGCUGACCCCCCUCACUUACAGCCCACUAGGGAGCCAGAAAAAGAGAAACCUGUGAAGAAGAGUGGUCCUGUAGAAGAUUCGGCUCCCGCCUUGUCAAACUGGUUUGCGGAAGUCAUUGAACUGCGUCGUAAAGCUGCAGAGUAUAAAAAACGAGCCCAAGGAACUCACUUCUCUCGUGAACACCUCGUCCAGCUCAUAGCUCAACAGAAUCAAGCUUGGGACAACUUGAGUACCGCUCGCAGUGGGUCUAGCACGCUGUCAGCCCUCUCCCUCGAGUCUGGAGCCAGUGCCAAGCUAAGAGCUCAGGAGAGUGUAGAAAAGCAAAAGGAGACAAACCUUGAUUUGGAUAAACCAGUUCUUACAAAUAUAAAACAAAUUGAAACUGAGUGUCCUAUCAAAGAUGUAUCUUAUGAUUAUAAUAAGAUCAAAACAAUGUCUGAGGGAAAGGAUGGUUGCUUAAUGCAGCUUCCUCAAAAACUGGAAGUUAACGAAUAUAGGCUUCAGACCAAAAACUUAUAUCCUGAUAAAAUAGAAAAUAAAUUAUUUGAAAAGCAAAGCAGGAAAAUAGAAUUAUCAGAAAAACCACUGCUAAAGAUUGAAAACAUUGAUACAAAUAAUGAGACCUUAGACAACGAAUUAUGUAAGGGGGUCAGAAAAUCUAAUGACAAAAUGCAGCAGUUAAAAGCUGACCCCGUUGUUAUGGAGACAAAAUUCAACAACAAACUGAGACUGGAGACCAAGAAAGAAAACACCAACCAUCGCAAUGUGAAAACCAAAUCUAAGAAAGUGGAGAUGGCAAAUAAGAUUGAGGAUGAUGUUUCGUUGAUGGCUCAUGAGGGAUCAGAUGAGGAGCAAGGGAAACCAGACUUUGUACCAGAAAAACACAUGGACCUCACCACUAAACAGAGGUAUAAGAAGAGCCAGUCCAGGAAGAAGGCGUGGCAGGAAAUGGAUGAGAGCAGGGAUUAUGGACAAGAUGACCUUUCUUUGAUGGUUCAGGAGGGAUCUGAAAGGAGAGCAAAAUCAAGAGGGAGGAAGAAGCAUAGGAGUAGGAGGGCUAGGAGGAGGGAGCAGGAGGAGGCAAGUGAGGUUACUCCAGAUUUCCCCUCAGACACUGGCCGGAUCCCCACCCCCAAAAUGAGAUCCAAGAGACACCCACUUCCUGCGAGACGACGAGGUCAGUGUGGACAAACCGCUGGAGACCGUGUUUGUGGACAGUCCGGCCAAAGUCCGCAUGACCGGCAAUGUCUCAAGUGGAGAUGAAAAACCAGCCAGAAAAAGCAAGAAACCCACCAAGUUUGAGGCUCAGCGAACAAUCAAGGAAGGAUAUGGACAAACCUACAAUAAACCCAUGGUGUGGGGCAUUGACGGGGGAAUGACCAUUCCGCGGAUUGAGCCAGAUGACGAUGCGCUGUCAUUAUCCGUGAGAUCCAUCGCCUCUAGCUGUUCACUGGCCUCCGAAGUUUACGAAAGGGCCCAAAAACGGACUCAGGAAUUCUGGGGGAAAGAUGGGAUUGCAUCACGAUAAAACCAUAAACCAGUGUGCUAUACAAGCAGAACUGUGAUAUCUGAAUACCUUGUAGAGAUCUUUAUUCAUCAGCAGCUAGAGUUUAUUAAUCUUUUGGUAUCCGUCCAGUAUUGUCACAAUCCUCACGAUUAUGGUCCGACACUUAAUGAAUGAUAGACAAAUGAUACAUGUACUAGACAAAUGAUACUUGACAAAUGAUGGCUAGAGUGAAGUGAGAGAAUAUGUUACUGAAUUUUUACAAUAAUGGAAUGAUUAGAAGAACCAAAUGAAUGUGAAUUUAAAAUUAUUCUGGUUUUAUAUUAGCAGACAAGUUAUUAAUAGUUUGUUUUAAUAUGUGAGUUUUUUAAUUUUUGUAUUUUAUGAAUGUAUUUUGUUUAUUUUAUCGUUGUUAGUUAUUUUUAAAUUUAGGUUUGAGCACAGGUGUCUAGAACUUGAUAGAAAUGCAUUAAUAUGCAAAAUGUACAUGUAUUUUAAAAGUUCUUAACAUGAUUUACUUUUAUGCACCCUAGAGUUUCAGCAAAAAAUUGUUAUGCAUCAUACAUGUAUGCUCAGGAUUUUAGCAAACUUUUCUAUUAAUAGUUUAUUGUUAUAGAGUUUCAACUUAAUACAUUAAAUAUCAUUGAAUCUCAUCUUAGAUAAUUAUUACCUAAGGUUAUUGUUUAAACCAUCAUAGUUUUGCAUGUUGUACGAUUGUUUGUCUGUUGAUCAGUAGAUUUGGCUUGGAUUUCAUGGAUAGUAACUUAUGUGUACUCAUUAACCAAGUUAAGACUUAAAGAACAUUUGAAGUCUGUAGUUAGUUAGAAUAUUUGAUGAUAUACAAAUAAAAACUCAUAAC
rnacentral:misc_RNA from 1 species